rnacentral:rRNA from 1 species
AGAAUCAACGCUGGCGGCGUGCCUAACACAUGCAAGUCGAACGAGAAAGGGUAGCAAUACCUGAGUAAAGUGGCGCACGGGUGAGUAACACGUGACUAACCUACCUUUUAGUGGGGGAUAACCUAGGGAAACCUGGGCUAAUACCGCAUAAUACCUACGGGUCAAAGCAGCAAUGCGCUGAAAGAGGGGGUCGCGGUCGAUUAGUUAGUUGGCAGGGUAAUGGCCUACCAAGACUGUGAUCGAUAUCCGGCCUGAGAGGGCGCACGGACACACUGGAACUGAAACACGGUCCAGACUCCUACGGGAGGCAGCAGUGGGAAUUUGCGCAAUGGGGGAAACCCUGACGCAGCAACGCCGCGUGGAGGAUGAAGUCCCUUGGGACGUAAACUCCUUUCGAUCGGGACGAUAAUGACGGUACCGGAAGAAGAAGCCCCGGCUAACUCGUGCCAGCAGCCGC